rnacentral:lncRNA from 1 species
CUACAUGUAACUGAUCCAUACAUUCAGUGAAAGACUCAGUCUUAAUCAAUGUACUGAACACAGAGGUUGAAGAAAAUUGCUAAGUACAUUUUUAAUAGAUCCAUCUCCAUCUGGGGAAAGCCAGGUCUCAGUUACCAUUCUGGAAUCCAGCUUCACUUGUGUCAGUAUCAUGUUCCUGAUUCAGUUUCUUAAAUUCAACCACUUGGAAGAAGAUGUGCUCCAGAAUAUGUUUGGCAUCCUGCUUCUCCUUUGGGAGUUUACUUGUAACUCCUAGGAUAUCGCCACACUUCCGUACGUAAAACUCCAGGUCAUCAUCAGUACCUAAACAAGCAUCCCAAGGAAAGAGGCAGGUGAGCAUCACACAUACCUGUACCAGCUGGGCAAAAACAUACCAAUCUCCAUUCAUUUCUGGUAUCCUGGGGAGUCUACAAAUAGGUUCAGAGAACUAGUCAUGAUGUAUUUCCGCAGCCAGUACUUUCUCAUCUUGCUUAGACUUAAGGUGCGUUUGGAAUAAUCUUAACAGGCACUGAUCAACAGUCAGUGCUAGAUAUUGAACUGCUGACUUCAAAAACCAUUCCCCAAAAGAAUAGAACGGGAGGCCAACAACUCUCUAAAAUAACAGCAGGCCUUGCAAAUGAAAAG